AGAAUCAACGCUGGCGGCGUGCCUAACACAUGCAAGUCGAACGAGAAAGUGGAGCAAUCCAUGAGUAAAGUGGCGCACGGGUGAGUAACACGUGACUAACCUACCCUGGAGUGGGGAAUAACUGAGGGAAACCUUAGCUAAUACCGCAUAAUACCUACGGGUCAAAGGAGCAAUUCGCUUCAGGAGGGGGUCGCGGCCGAUUAGUUAGUUGGCGGGGUAAUGGCCCACCAAGACAGUGAUCGGUA
rnacentral:rRNA from 1 species